UAAAUAAUAAAUAAAUCUAUUAAUAAAUAAAUUUAUUAAAUAAAUCUAAAACUAUCUUAAUAUAAAUUCUAAGUGUAAUCUAAGUGUUCCUUUACUUUUAUUUCGACGAUUAAGAUGCACAAUUCUUAACACAAAUUUCCUACAGACGUAAAAAAAUCUACGGUCUUAGUCAUAAAACUACAUUUCAUAAGAUUAGAAUGUUUCCUCGUACCGCUCGUCGUUUGGAGAACAAGUACAUGAACCUAUAAAGGCUCUUGGAAAAUAAGAAUUCUGCUGAAUUUUUCACGGGCAGCGUACACAGAGAAACUACUGCAUGUAGAAUUCCCCAGCUACGCCAACAGGAAACCGUAUAAAACAGUACAAAACUCGUGGUCCCAGGAAGCUCAUAAAUUCAGCCUAGACCAGAAUCCAAAAACGAAUAGCUCAAAAAGAAUCGAACCGCGUAUCGUGGCAAAAUAAAACGACGUAGCUUCUCCUAUCCUUCUAUGCUGGAUUCCACGGUUGCUACGCGAUAUCUCCGAAAACUGGUCUACACAGACGACCGUGUGUACCGUGAGAAGGUGCAUAAAUCCAGCUGGGUGGAUGUGUCACGCAUAAAACUCUAAACUCGAUUGCCAGUGUCGGUGCGUGAAUCAAUAAAACGUCGCUUUAUUCGAAAACGAUAAGGCUUCACGACGACAGGUAAUCUGUCCAAGUGUCAGCCCGUGUUAUUUCCAUUUGAAAACAUACUCAAUUCCACUAUUUAUAUAUAUAUUUCUUGAUUUCUUGCUUUCGCUCCUUUUCCUUUUGUUACAGCCCCUUUUAGUUUCUUCACUGACACGAAGCAAGCAGACUUCAAGCAUUGAUUUUCCACGGCCCCGGAGGGACCGAUUUCCCGGUAGUGUGCACGUCGUGUCACGAAGUUAUACAUGCUCCUGAGAAGAAGAGAAGUCGUGCGGCAGAAACGUGUGCGAUGCGGUUUACCCUCGCGCUUGUUAUUACUUCCUUCCGCUUGUUGCACUGAAUCGAUUCUGACUUCGACCACCGAACAUCUCCCAGGGAUUAUCGUUGACUCUUCAACGACCACGGAUCUCCGCUAAUUUAUCAACGAGAACAACGUGGCUGUAUAAACUACAGGGUUCGACUGUUUGUGUUUCACGGUCGGCCACGAAUCCUGGACCACGAUGAUACAGUAAUACGAUGUUGUUCGUAGCUAUGCUUUCGGUCAUCUCAGCAUUACGGUUAUAGAAUCGCAAGUUAUAGGAUCGCAAGAAUUUGCUGAAUCUUUUAGCUAAAGCUUUUCUAGUCGCCAUUUAUUCUUCCACUCGUUCCUUACAAUUUAACAAGGUAUGAAGAAAUUACAAAGAUGUACAACAUUACGAUAUUAAUUUUCUUUAAAUCAUCGAAUAUCUUCGUUAUAGCGUAGAACACUUCUGAUUUAUGCAAUGGACUUCUGCGUAGUAUCCGCUACUUUAAUACAUUUUUUAUGACAUUCAAUUCUUUUAUAAUAAUAGGUCGCUCUAUAUGCGUGCUGGCGACGACGUAUUUUUAAGAGACGUCGGUGUCAGUUACACUGGCGUUAUUCAGCCUUGUGUAUGGCCAGUGAAAAUGCAGGAGAAAAUAAGCAGAUAUCCAACGAUAGCAUAUAUCUCGAAGUCACGUAACCAUCGGGUAUCGAGAAUGGAUGUUUAGAAUGAGAGGGUUUAGAGAGGCUCUCCUUUAACCGACCUCUCAGUAGCUACAAAAAACUUUCACAAAUAUCCUUAUUUUCCAAAUACGUGAAAAAAUGAAGCAGAUGUACUGGUUAAUCAAUAGAAAAUCUAAAUUAAG